rnacentral:rRNA from 1 species
AUUGAACGCUGGCGGCAUGCCUUACACAUGCCAGUCGAACGGUAACAGGUUAAGCUGACGAGUGGCGAACGGGUGAGUAAUGUAUCGGAACGUGCCCAGUCGUGGGGGAUAACUACUCGAAAGAGUGGCUAAUACCGCAUACGACCUGAGGGUGAAAGCGGGGGACCGUAAGGCCUCGCGCGAUUGGAGCGGCCGAUAUCAGAUUAGCUAGUUGGUGGGGUAAAAGCCCACCAAGGCGACGAUCUGUAGCUGGUCUGAGAGGACGACCAGCCAGACUGGGACUGAGACACGGCCCAGACUCCUACGGGAGGCAGCAGUGGGGAAUUUUGGACAAUGGACGCAAGUCUGAUCCAGCCAUGCCGCGUGCGGGAAGAAGGCCUUCGGGUUGUAAACCGCUUUUGUCAGGGAAGAAACGAGUUUCUCUAAUACAGAGACUUAAUGACGGUACCUGAAGAAUAAGCACCGGCUAACUACGUGCCAGCCGCCGCCGUAAGAC